GUGGGGAAUAUUGCGCAAUGGGGGAAACCCUGACGCAGCGACGCCGUGUGGGGGAAGAAGGCUUUCGGGUCGUAAACCUCUGUCAGAAAGGAAGAACCUCCCAAGUCCGAAUAGGGCUUGGGACUGACGGUACUUUCAAAGGAAGCACCGGCUAACUCCGUGCCAGCAGCCGCGGUAAUACGGAGGGUGCAAGCGUUAAUCGGAAUCACUGGGCGUAAAGCGCGCGUAGGCCGCUUUGUAAGUCGGACGUGAAAGCCCUCGGCUCAACCGGGGAACGGCGUUCGAUACUGCGAGGCUUGAGUCCUGGAGAGGGUGGCGGAAUUCCGGGUGUAGGAGUGAAAUCCGUAGAUAUCCGGAGGAACACCGGUGGCGAAGGCGGCCACCUGGACAGGUACUGACGCUGAGGCGCGAAAGCGUGGGGAGCAAACAGGAUUAGAAACCCUAGUAGUCC
rnacentral:rRNA from 1 species